rnacentral:rRNA from 1 species
GACGUAGGGCGCGAGCGUUGUCCGGAUUUAUUGGGCGUAAAGAGCUCGUAGGCGGUCUGUCGCGUCUGCUGUGAAAACUCGGGGCUUAACCCCGGGCCUGCAGUGGGUACGGGCAGACUAGAGUGCGGUAGGGGAGACUGGAAUUCCUGGUGUAGCGGUGAAAUGCGCAGAUAUCAGGAGGAACACCGGUGGCGAAGGCGGGUCUUUGGGCCGUAACUGACGCUGAGGAGCGAAAGCGUGGGGAGCGAACAGG